GUCCUAGCCCUAAACGGUGCUUGCUUGCUGUAAGAGGAAUCGACCCCUCUUGUGGCGGAGCUAACGCGUUAAGCAAGCCGCCUGGGAAGUACGGUCGCAAGAUUAAAACUCAAAGAAAUUGACGGGGGCCUGCACAAGCGGUGGAGUAUGUGGCUUAAUUCGAUGCAACGCGAAGAACCUUACCUGGCCUUGACAUGCAAGUAGUAGAAGCCUGAAAGGGUGACGAGGUAGCAAUACCAGCUUGCACAGGUGCUGCAUGGCUGUCGU
rnacentral:rRNA from 1 species